CUUCAUUCCUGAACAUGUACUAAAACUGGAACAACACAGAGAAGAUUAGCACGGCCCCUGUACAAGGAUAACACGCAAAUUUCAAAAUUUUU
rnacentral:snRNA from 1 species